ACGGGUGAGUAACACGUAGGUAACCUGCCUAUGAGACUGGGAUAACUAUCGGAAACGAUAGCUAAGACCGGAUAACUGGUUUUCUCGCAUGAGAGAAUCAUGAAACACGGAGCAAUCUGUGGCUUAUAGAUGGGCCUGCGGCGCAUUAGCUAGUUGGUAGGGUAAUGGCCUACCAAGGCGACGAUGCGUAGCCGACCUGAGAGGGUGACCGGCCACACUGGGACUGAGACACGGCCCAGACUCCUACGGGAGGCAGCAGUAGGGAAUCUUCCGCAAUGGACGCAAGUCUGACGGAGCAACGCCGCGUGAGUGAUGAAGGUUUUCGGAUCGUAAAGCUCUGUUGCCCUAGACGAACAGCAAGGAGAGUAACUGCUCUUUGUGUGACGGUAUAGGAGAAGAAAGCCCCGGCUAACUACGUGCCAGCAGCCGCGGUAAUACGUAGGGGGCAAGCGUUGUCCGGAAUUAUUGGGCGUAAAGCGCGCGCAGGCGGUCAAUUAAGUUGGGUGUUUAAGCCCGGGGCUCAACCCCGGUUCGCAUCCAAAACUGGUUGACUUGAGUGUAGGAGAGGAAAGUGGAAUUCCACGUGU
rnacentral:rRNA from 1 species